rnacentral:rRNA from 1 species
UACACUCCUACGGGAGGCAGCAGUGGGGAAUUUUACGCAAUGGGGGAAACCCUGACGUAGCGACACCGCGUGAGCGAAGAAGCCCUUUGGGGUGUAAAGCUCUGUCAGCUGGAACGAAAACAAUGACGGUACCAGCAGAGGAAGCAUCGGCUAACUACGUGCCAGCAGCCGCGGUAAGACGUAGGAUGCGAGCGUUGUCCGGAUUUAUUGGGCGUAAAGAGUUCGUAGGUGGUUUGUUAAGUUUGGUGUUAAAGAUCGGGGCUCAACCCUGGGACUGCACUGAAUACUGGCAGACUCGAGUGUGGUAGAGGCUAGUGGAAUUCCCAGUGUAGCGGUGAAAUGCGUAGAUAUUGGGAAGAACACCGGUGGCGUAGGCGACUAGCUGGGCCAUAACUGACGCUGAGGAACGAAAGCCAGGGGAGCGAAUGGGAUUAGAAACCCUAGUAGUCCCAUGAU